rnacentral:rRNA from 1 species
UACGUAGGUGGCGAGCGUUGUCCGGAUUUACUGGGCGUAAAGAGCGCGCAGGCGGUCGUGCAAGUCGCGUGUGAAAGCCCCCGGCUCAACUGGGGAGGGUCACGCGAUACUGCUCGACUCGAAGGCAGGAGAGGGAAGUGGAAUUCCCGGUGUAGUGGUGAAAUGCAUUGAGAUCGGAAAGAACACCAACGGCGAAAGCACUCUGCUGGGCCGACACUGACACUGAGAGACGAAAGCUAGGGGAGCAAAUGGG